CACGGCCUAACACAUGCAAGUCGAACGAAGCCUUCGGGCUUAGUGGCGCACGGGUGCGUAACGCGUGGGAAUCUGCCCUUGGGUUCGGAAUAACAGUUAGAAAUGACUGCUAAUACCGGAUGAUGACGUAAGUCCAAAGAUUUAUCGCCCAGGGAUGAGCCCGCGUAGGAUUAGCUAGUUGGUGGGGUAAAGGCCUACCAAGGCGACGAUCCUUAGCUGGUCUGAGAGGAUGAUCAGCCACACUGGGACUGAGACACGGCCCAGACUCCUACGGGAGGCAGCAGUGGGGAAUAUUGGACAAUGGGCGAAAGCCUGAUCCAGCAAUGCCGCGUGAGUGAUGAAGGCCUUAGGGUUGUAAAGCUCUUUUACCCGGGAUGAUAAUGACAGUACCGGGAGAAUAAGCUCCGGCUAACUCCGUGCCAGCAGCCGCGGUAAU
rnacentral:rRNA from 1 species